UACGGAGGGUGCAAGCGUUAUCCGGAUUCACUGGGUUUAAAGGGUGCGUAGGUGGGCAGGUAAGUCAGUGGUGAAAUCUCCGGGCUUAACCCGGAACUGCCGUUGAUACUAUCUGUCUUGAAUAUCGCGUAGGUAAGCGGAAUAUGUCAUGUAGCGGUGAAAUGCUUAGAUAUGACAUAGAACACCAAUUGCGAAAGGCAGCUUACUUCACGAUCAUUGACACUGAGGCACGAAAGCGUGGGGAGCAAACAGG
rnacentral:rRNA from 1 species